rnacentral:rRNA from 1 species
UACGGGGGGGCAAGGCAGUUGUUCGGCGAAUUUACGUGGGCGUUAAAAGGGCUCGUAGGUGGCCAACUAAGUCAUACGAUGAAAUCCCUCGGCUUAACCGGGGAACUGCGUCUGAACUACUGGAUGGCUUGAGGUUGGGAGAGGGAGUGCGGAAUUCCAGGUGUAGCGGUGAAAUGCGUAGAUAUCUGGAGGAACACCGGUGGCCGA